rnacentral:rRNA from 1 species
CCUACGGGCGGCUGCAGUGGGGAAUAUUGGACAAUGGGCGAAAGCCUGAUCCAGCCAUGCCGCGUGUGUGAAGAAGGCCUUCGGGUUGUAAAGCACUUUCAGUGGGGAAGAAAGCCUUGGGGCUAAUACCCUCGAGGAAGGACAUCACCCACAGAAGAAGCACCGGCUAACUCCGUGCCAGCAGCCGCGGUAAUACGGAGGGUGCGAGCGUUAAUCGGAAUUACUGGGCGUAAAGCGCGCGUAGGCGGUCUGAUAAGCCGGUUGUGAAAGCCCCGGGCUCAACCUGGGAACGGCAUCCGGAACUGUCAGGCUAGAGUGCAGGAGAGGAAGGUAGAAUUCCCGGUGUAGCGGUGAAAUGCGUAGAGAUCGGGAGGAAUACCAGUGGCGAAGGCGGCCUUCUGGACUGACACUGACGCUGUGGUGCGAAAGCGUGGGUAGCAAACAGGAUUAGAUACCCUAGUAGUC